AACGAACGCUGGCGGCAGGCCUAACACAUGCAAGUCGAGCGCGCCCUUCGGGGUGAGCGGCGGACGGGUGAGUAACGCGUGGGAACGUGCCCUUUUCUACGGAAUAGCCUCGGGAAACUGAGAGUAAUACCGUAUACGCCCUUUGGGGGAAAGAUUUAUCGGAAAAGGAUCGGCCCGCGUUGGAUUAGGUAGUUGGUGAGGUAAUGGCCUACCAAGCCGACGAUCCGUAGCUGGUUUGGGAGGGUGAUCAGCCACACUGGGACUGAGACACGGCCCAGACAGCGAAGGGAGGCAGAAGUGGGGAAUAGUCAGGAAGGGGCGAAAGCGUGAGGGAGAAAAGGGGCGUGAGUGAGGAAGGGCUUCGGAUCGGAAAAGUAUGUGAGUAGGGAAGAAAAAAUGGGCAAGGAACUAGGCACGUCUGGAGGGGAGAUAAUAAGAAAGACACGGCGAAUCACGUG
rnacentral:rRNA from 1 species